CUCGUGGAACUGGGGGUGGCGGUGGCCGGAGAGUGUCCUGCUCUGACACCCUGAUCCCAGGAGAGCGUGUCAGGCCCGAGCGGAACGGAGACAGCGUCCUGACGCCCGGUUUCUUUGUGUGGUCUUCUCUCCUUCCUCCUCCACACCCUGCGGUGCCAGGCCCAGGCGGGAAAGGAUAAGGGAGGAGUGGACUGCCGUGCCCCUUUUCUCCAGCCUGGGAGGAGCCAGCUGGCAUCUCCGGCAGCCGCGGACCGCUGCCCACCUCUACCACGAGGGGUCAGCAGAGUGUUGUGGCCGCGGCCGGAGUUGGGGAGGGGGUUGGAGCCAGGGAGGGACGCCUAGGAGUGGCCCGGAGAAUGCGUGUACAUUUCCUCAUUAAACUGUUUUCAGAACCUUG